CAACCUACCGAUAACUCUGGAAUAGCCUUUCGAAAGAAAGAUUAAUACCGGAUAGUAUACGAAUAUCGCAUGAUAUUUUUAUUAAAGAAUUUCGGUUAUCGAUGGGGAUGCGUUCCAUUAGUUUGUUGGCGGGGUAACGGCCCACCAAGACUACGAUGGAUAGGGGUUCUGAGAGGAAGGUCCCCCACAUUGGAACUGAGACACGGUUCAAACUCCUACGGGAGGCAGCAGUGAGGAAUAUUGGUCAAUGGGCGCAGGCCUGAACCAGCCAAGUAGCGUGAAGGAUGAAGGCUCUAUGGGUCGUAAACUUCUUUUAUAUGGGAAUAAAGUUUUCCACGUGUGGAAUUUUGUAUGUACCAUAUGAAUAAGGAUCGGCUAACUCCGUGCCAGCAGCCGCGGUAAUACGGAGGAUCCGAGCGUUAUCCGGAUUUAUUGGGUUUAAAGGGAGCGUAGGUGGAUUGUUAAGUCAGUUGUGAAAGUUUGCGGCUCAACCGUAAAAUUGCAGUUGAAACUGGUAGUCUUGAGUACAGUAGAGGUGGGCGGAAUUCGUGGUGUAGCGGUGAAAUGCUUAGAUAUCACGAAGAACUCCGAUUG
rnacentral:rRNA from 1 species